AGAACGAACGCUGGCGGCAGGCCUAACACAUGCAAGUCGAACGCUCCGCAAGGGGAGUGGCAGACGGGUGAGUAACGCGUGGGAAUCUACCCAAAGGUACGGAACAACCAAGGGAAACUUUGGCUAAUACCGUAUGUGCCCGAAAGGGGAAAGAUUUAUCGCCUUUGGAUGAGCCCGCGUCGGAUUAGCUAGUUGGUGAGGUAAUGGCUCACCAAGGCGACGAUCCGUAGCUGGUCUGAGAGGAUGAUCAGCCACACUGGGACUGAGACACGGCCCAGACUCCUACGGGAGGCAGCAGUGGGGAAUAUUGGACAAGUGGGCGCAAGCCUGAUCCAGCCAUGCCGCGUGAGUGAUGAAGGCCCUAGGGUGUAAAGCUCUUCAGCGGGAAGAUAAUGACGUACCGCAGAAGAACGCCCGGCUAACUUACGUGCCAGCAGCCGC
rnacentral:rRNA from 1 species